rnacentral:rRNA from 1 species
AUUGAACGCUGGCGGCAUGCCUUACACAUGCAAGUCGAACGAGACCUUCGGGUCUAGUGGCGCACGGGUGCGUAACGCGUGGGAAUCUGCCCUUAGGUUCGGAAUAACUUCGGGAAACUGAAGCUAAUACCGGAUGAUGACGUAAGUCCAAAGAUUUAUCGCCUAAGGAUGAGCCCGCGUUGGAUUAGCUAGUUGGUGAGGUAAAGGCUCACCAAGGCGACGAUCCAUAGCUGGUCUGAGAGGAUGAUCAGCCACACUGGGACUGAGACACGGCCCAGACUCCUACGGGAGGCAGCAGUGGGGAAUAUUGGACAAUGGGCGAAAGGACCUGAUCCAGCAAUGCCGCGUGAGUGAUGAAGG